rnacentral:rRNA from 1 species
CCUACGGGUGGCAGCAGUGAGGAAUAUUGGUCAAUGGGCGAGAGCCUGAACCAGCCAAGUCGCGUGAGGGAGUACUGCCCUAUGGGUUGUAAACCUCUUUUGUCGGGGAGCAAAAGCCGGACGUGUCCGGCUGUGAGAGUACCCGAAGAAAAAGCAUCGGCUAACUCCGUGCCAGCAGCCGCGGUAAUACGGAGGAUGCGAGCGUUAUCCGGAUUUAUUGGGUUUAAAGGGUGCGCAGGCGGAUGUUUAAGUCAGCGGUAAAAUCGUGGGGCUCAACCCCAUCCAGCCGUUGAAACUGGGGAUCUAGAGUGUGCGAGAGGUAUGCGGAAUGCGUGGUGUAGCGGUGAAAUGCAUAGAUAUCACGCAGAACCCCGAUUGCGAAGGCAGCAUACCGGUGCACAACUGACGCUCAGGCACGAAAGCGUGGGUAUCGAACAGGAUUAGAUACCCUUGUAGUC